GUUGACAUCAACCGGCCAGAUAGACAUCACACACACACACACACACACACACACACACAGACACAGAGGCACGCGUGGUGACAGGGAUCAUCCCUCAUCCACAACAACCAUGCAGCCAGCGCAUAUUGAAUGGACAUCACAUUGCAGAGAUGUCUGAAACCCGACCGGGACUUCUGACUGUACGUUCCUCCCUACUCCUGGUCUCUUUGGGAAGCACAAACGGAACCAAAGAACCCAAACUUUCCUCACUCCUCUACCUGCGUGGAAGUUAAUCCAUCCCAUUCCCUCUAAUUCCCACUAUCCCCUUCUUCCCACCCCUCUCUCACCUCCGUCCAUCCCAUC
ensembl:lncRNA